UCGCAUGAAAUUCAUUGUGAUGCUGAAGAUAAAUUUUCAAAUUCACUCAUCACAUUCAAUCUCUCUCUAAUUAACAUUCAAUUAUUCAAUUUUACACCCAUUUUUAGUUCCAGUGAAUCUGGUUCCAGAUUUCCUCCAAAUCUGGUGAAAAUUUGGAGACGAGUUUUCAUGUUGCUUCCACCAAAUCAAUUCGUCAGCAAUUUGUUCUUCGAUUCUUAUUCCAAUUCAAGCAAAUUUCUUAAGUUUCUGCAAUUUUAGUGAACCCAUACAUAUUGAAGACGAUUCUGCAAUGUAGUUCGAAUUGAAGACAAUAUGAGAUGCAAUUUGAUUCUCAGUUUGAUUUGGAUGUUUUUCCAUAAGGUUUAUGUAUUAAAUAUUGCAGAUCACCUAAUUGUUAUUUGCAUUCAUUUAUAUUUGAACUAGUUCACAUUCUGUUUUAUCAUGUGAUCCGGCGUGGCUCGACGAUAUUCGACCAAAGGUUCAACAAGUGAUUCUGCAAGCCAUUUGGUGUCCAUGAGAGAAAAGGCUAUAAAGUUGAACAACAAACCAUUACUUCGAUGUAAAAAUUGUGGAGAAUUGGGUCACCUGACUCUAGGAACUCUGGCCGAUAAAUUUACUACAUGAAUUUCGUAUGUAAUUGUGUGAAUAGCUUUGGAGUGUAUUGUUGAUUGGAAUCCAUGGAUUUCGUGAAUUUCAUUAUGCAAGUUGAGAUGUAAUUGAACUCCAUGAAUUUUGAUCUAUAAUUGAACUCAAUGAAUUUAA